rnacentral:rRNA from 1 species
GGGCCUAACACAUGCAAGKCGAACGAGAACGCUCCUUCGGGAGUUAUUAAAGUGGCGCACGGGUGAGGAACGCGUAGGUAAUUUACCCUUUGGCGGGGGACAACAUUCCGAAAGGAAUGCCAAUACCGCGUAAGACCACGCUCACUACGGUGAAAGCGGUUAAAGGUGCCUCAAAGCACCACCAAAGGAUGAGCCUGCGUCCCAUCAGCUUGUUGGUAAGGUAAUGGCUUACCAAGGCUAAGACGGGUAGCUGGUUGAGAGGAUGAUCAGCCACACUGGCACUGGAACACGGGCCAGACUCCUACGGGAGGCAGCAGUGAGGAAUAUUGGGCAAUGGGCGAAAGCCUGACCCAGCCACGCCGCGUGUGUGAUGAAGGCCUUCGGGUCGUAAAGCACUGUGGGGAGAGACGAACAUGCGCAGGAGGAAAUGCUUGCGUACUGACGGUACCUCCUUAGCAAGCACCGGCUAACUCUGUGCCAGCAGCCGCGGUAAUACAGAGGGUGCAAACGUGCUCGGAUUUACUGGGCGUAAAGCGCGUGUAGGCGGACUCGCAAGUCGGUUGUGAAAUCCCUGGGCUUAACCUAGGAACUGCAUCCGAAACUGCUUGUCUUGAGUAAUGGAGAGGGUGGCGGAAUUCCCGGUGUAGAGGUGAAAUUCGUAGAUAUCGGGAGGAACACCAGUGGCGAA